CAGCCGCCGCGGUAAUACGUAGGGUGCGAGCGUUAAUCGGAAUUACUGGGCGUAAAGCGUGCGCAGGCGGUUCGUUAAGACAGAUGUGAAAUCCCCGGGCUUAACCUGGGAACUGCAUUUGUGACUGGCAAGCUAGAGUAUGGCAGAGGGGGGUGGAAUUCCGCGUGUAGCAGUGAAAUGCGUAGAUAUGCGGAGGAACACCGAUGGCGAAGGCAGCCCCCUGGGCCAAUACUGACGCUCAUGCACGAAAGCGUGGGGAGCAAACAGGAUUAGAUACCCCCGUAGUCCCUGUCUCUUAUAC
rnacentral:rRNA from 1 species